GUGCUCGCUUCGGCAGCACAUAUACUAAAAUUGGAAUGACACAUAGAAGAUUAGCAUGGCCCCUGUGCAAGGAUAACACGCGAAUCUGUGAAGCAUUCUAUAAUAUU